UUAACACUUUUUGCACAGCUGGCAUUCGCUUGCUUUUCACUCAUCCAAGGUGCGUAAACAUAUUUUUUUUCAUCUAAUAUGGCGUCCAACUAAGCUUUUAACGGUAAUAUUACUCCAUUUCAUUUAUUUAUAACCUUUCUUCUUCAAUUGUACCCCAAGCUAAGUAAGAACAAAAUUUCUCCCUUCUCCAAUUUCUCUCUUCUUCAUCCAUCUUUUCUUUAAUUCUUUCAUGUCGAGCUUCUCCAAUUUUUCCAUGGUAUCUAUGGAUGAAGGUUGAUAUUGUAGAUUUGGUAAUGAAGCAUUAUUAAAGACUUCGUGGACCCAAUUAAAUCCAGGGCAUAGAUUAUUUACUUGUAGAAUUUUCAAGAAAAUGGGUGGCUGUGACUAUUUUCAUUGGUAUGAAGAUUGACACCCUCCUCAAGCAAACAGGAUGAUGUGGGGUUUGUUGAAGAAAGUCAAGGCUUUAGAUGAAAAUAUAAAUCGAGCAAGAAAUAUAUUUAUUGUUGGUGUCAUUGCUACUGGGUUUGGUGAUGUUUGGAAUAUGGACAUUGAAGCCUAAUUGCCAGUGUUCUUGAGGUCUAGUAGUAUUUACCAUUAGUGUUCGGCCUAGUAAUAUGUUGAUGUUGUUGUUGCUGUAAAUUUUUGAUGUAAAUGUGCAUUUUGGAUGAAAUGAAAUUCUAUGUUAUUAUA